AUGUUCAUCGCCACACUUUUCAUUUGUGUUACCAUCUUGGAAAAAUAAGUCUCGAAAAAUUUUCAUUUAUAAGUAUUAAUAUAUAAUAAUAAUAAAUUAAUUCUUAAUUUUAAUAAAUCUUUACAGUUCAUCUCGGCUAAUAUUUUCUUGUUAAUUAAAAUAUAAGAAUUAACUUUUAUAAAGGAUUAAUUAUAUCAUGUGGAAUUUUGAAUUAUAAUAUUUAAUUAAAUGGCAUAUAUGUGCAAGAACGGGGUAAGAAUGUAUCGAAUUCCUAAUAUUGUGGAUUAGACAUUAAUAGUCUCGCGGAAGUAAAAAUUCUCGCCAUUUAUUUCAAUUCACGUAUUCAUUUUUUCCAAUAAAUAAAUCUCGAAAGCUUUAAUUCUUUUUAAUUUUAGAUGCGUACGUAAUUGCAGAAUCUAUUUUUAAAUCGUGCUUUAAUUGCAACUUAACUUUGUUAGAGUUGAAAAGGUAUGUAGGAAUCAAAAUUUAAAUAUAUUAAUAAAAAAGGUGAAAAGAAAUCUUGACGAGAGAGAACCAGUUUUUUAACGUCUUUUGGUUUAAUUGCCGGUUUUCCGUACCGUCUCUUUCAUUCUUUCUUUCGCCCUGUCUCUUUUGUGUUCUCUUCCUCUCUCCCAUUCUUUAUAUAUUGUCGCCGACAAUUGAAUUUUACUUCCGUGUCGCGUGAAUUCACUACAUCUGGCAUUUGCAUUCUACACUCGACUCACAUUAUAAGGUACUUAAGUCGCUAUAAAUACGCAUUUUCUUAUGCGUAAAAUUCGCUGAAAUACAUUGAGGAAACACUGACUGCGCAAUUGAAAGAGAAGAAAUGAGGGGGAAGCAUCUCGUUAAUAUAAAAUAUCAAUUUUACUUUACGAACUUUUUUUUCAGCUUUACUUUUUAUUUUUGUUAUCGCAUGAUGCAUUCACGAUGUUACUACGAACUCAUAAUUUAUAAAGUCCAUAUAUGUACGAAAGAUUUACGACGAAGCAGAAGAGCUUUGCCGACUUUAAUAAUAAAGUUCGCGUUCAUCGAUAAUCGGAAAUAUUAUUGAAUUAAUUGAAUUAAAUUCUAUUUCUAGACGGAUUUACCGAAUCACCGAUAGACUCUCUUUAAGAGUGGCUUCAAUGAAUAACCAAUAGUAACCGUUGUAUUGAUGUCGCAGAACGGGCUAUCUCUAACAAGUGGUCCAUUGUUACCCUACAUAGCUGAAAGAGGUCUCCGUCUUUCUUCUACUUUAUCCUUCUUCCGGUACAUGCAAAGUACGGCCGUGAACAUGUUGUGAAUGGUCACAAAUUCUUAAACGUUCAGAAACAACGAUGAAAGAUUGCAAGACGUUUUAUGAAAAGAAAAACGAAGGAAAAUAUCUUAAUAAGCUGUAUGGGAAAAGUCCAAUGCUCCUACAUUAAUCCUUAAUGACUCCUACAUUAAUCGUGGUUUUUUAAAAUCAAGAGAAGUUUAGGACCUCAUGCAUUUUUGUCUCGCUUCUCUCUGCGAAGAAAAGGAUUAAAUUUUUAUUUUUAUCGAAUAAGAAAUUUAUGCGGCGAUUCUCCACGUAUAUACGGCUCUCGGUGCAACUCCGCCUGACAACAGCGAAUUCAAUUAGGAUUGCGCGGCGGCCGUACAAAAACAUUCGAUCAGGAAUAAACCGGCAGCCUGCCUGCCUCGCGGACGCUCUCUUACAACUCGUCUCGCUUUCCCGUUCGUGGACCAUGUAUAUAACGCGUACAGGUUGGCGUUAUCGAUUGUACAUUUUAUCGCCGGAAAGUCUUCGCCAUAGAUAUUUUCGACAGGAUGCGCAAACAAUUUUUAUACAUGUCAUAGAAUGAUCAUCAUUUUCUUCGCGAAAAUUCUUUAAUCGUAAUCUUAUCUCGUAACGAAAGUUUUUGUAUCUUCUCGAAAAAUAAAUUUCACAAAAAUUUUCUCUAGAUUUUCACGUAUGUGAUCUAAAAUCGAACAAGCAAUUUUAAAACGAGAGAAUAUGGGAUGUAUACGGAAUAUUUCUAUACAAAUAAAAUAUUUUUGUCUCGCUAGUUUAAGAUGCAAUUUUCGCUCCUUUCGAAUGUACAUAGCCAUGGAUUCUCAAGAUUUGAAUUUUUAUCUUUAUUUUUGUACAAAGACUCGAAUGAAGAAUUGCCAUUCGAUGCACGCGCGGAUUGCAGUUAUAUUUCUACGGCCCCGAUCACAUCUCCCUUUAUUCUCCCUCGAUCUUUUAUUCGUCUGUGGCGCAAACCGCGACGAGGGAGAGAAAGAAAGGAUCCAGAGUAGCUUGCAGAAGACCGAGAGAACACAGACGCAAAAAAACCCGUCUGGCAUAAUUACAUUAUCGAUCAUCACAUGUUGCUCGAUUUCUGCGUUCGCAGUUAACGAAUUUAUCCGAAUUUAAGACGAGCUUCUAUUUAUAGAGAAAGCAUAACGCAAUUAUUUUUCAGAAUAAUUUUAGGCAAACCGAUAUAUAUUAUCAUUUUUAUAAAAAUUAAUAAAAUAAACAAUGUAAUUUUUGUACAUAGAAUAUACGUAUUAUUUUUGUUUUACAUUCCUUUUUGAAGAGAAUUCUAAAUUAUUUAUAAAAUACUCUUGAAAUACUAUGUAGAAAUUAAUAUAACAAAUUAAAUGUUAUAUAUUAAAUUAAAUUGUAUAUUAAAGCUUUAUGGCUGGAAAAAUGACGAAUGAGGGAAAUCGCUAUUUGGACUGGAUUUAUUGAAUAUAAAAAUCGAUGGAUGGAUUCGAUACAAUGCUCCUCUUUGUAGAUUUCCUCUUCGUUUAUUCUUUUCUUUUUUUUUAAUUUCAUUGACAUGAGAGUUAUGCGGGCAAAUGUCGAAAUGCGCAUCGAUGCACGUAUUGUGAAUGAGAGAGUAAACUUAAAAGAUAUAAUUAUAUUCGCACAUAUAAUAUAAUGAUCUCCGAUUUUGGUAUCUCGCUGCUUUCACGAAGAGACGAGAAAAUUUCUCUACAGGGUGGUCCAUCCAAUCGCGCGAUAUUUGAUAGCUCAUUUGUGUAUUGAGGACGAAAGAUUGCAUGAUGAAAGUUAGGCCAGUUUUGUGCCUUCUUAUAUCAAUGCGCAACUUUUUCUACAUAAGCAAUUUCCUCUUCGCAAUACAUUCUAGUCGAGUUAAAUUCGAAGCAUUAUCAAAGGUGGAUGGAGCGCCCUGUGUGCGCAUAUUUCUAGAACUCUGCGGUUUUUUAAAUCUCGUAGAAAAAUUAUGUCUAAAAUUGUGACGGCCGAUGCGAUGGGAAUGCGCUUUCUAUAAU